CUCUGACAUCCUGCAGUCAUUUGAAGACAGCACAUGCCAACUAGCAGCCAUCCCUCUGCCUGGACCCCAGUUGAACACAGUCUCAUGGACCAAAGACUUUGGCUUGAGUCAUUUAAUAUGAGAGUACCUUAAUGGGAUACCAGCAUCAUCUGCAGGGCAAGCACAAUGAUCCUCGCCUUUGUUUUAGCUCCUGAGAAAGGUCCAGAAGAAUGCGCAUGCCAAGCACACAUCAGGAGCUGACUAAAUGUUGUCACCAGGAACACUGUGAGUAGAGGUUUUGUAACAGCUCCAGAGAUUCCAGAGAUGAGGAAAUAAUUCAUUAAUCACCUCACACGUAGGACACAAAAGCAGAAAGAACGCUAAAGGACCUGCAACAGAUUAGCUGUGUUCAUGCUGGGAGAAGAAUUUGGCUUCAGAAAGUAAAAUAUCACCUGCUGUGUUAUUGA